rnacentral:tRNA from 1 species
ACAAGGUAGCCGUAGGGGAACCUGCGGCUGGAUCACCUCCUUUCUAAGGAAGCUGUGGAAUUGGUAAGACGAUCGGCUGGAUCUUCGGAUCUCCCCGAUAUGAACCUUCCCGUGCUUUUUAGAACAUAGAUGGCACCAGUCAGGUGACUAUCGAAACGUAAUACGCCGCGACGACUUCGGUCACGACGGUAUGGCGAGCUUUCGCCGUCCACGUUUCUCUUUCUUCAAAAGGAUAUCGAACCAUGGGUUUGCGCUCGCGCGCUGUUCGCACCUUCGGUGCUGCGUGUCCCGCGAGGGCGCCGGACGACCGGCGACGGCCUCUGGCCUGUAUGGGCGACCCUUUCCGAGGUUUUGCUUAGGAUUGGCGUCGACGCAUAGAGAUGGGCCCGUAGCUCAGUUGGUUAGAGCACACGCUUGAUAAGCGUGGGGUCGGAAGUUCAAGUCUUCCCGGGCCCACCAUUUGCACCAGCAAAUGAGAUUUGCUGUAACGAAUUGUGGUUUGUUUGGGUUUACCUGAUCCUGGCGGUUUGCUGUCAGGUGUUUGCGAUGGUUGGGGCUGUAGCUCAGCUGGGAGAGCACCUGCUUUGCAAGCAGGGGGUCAGCGGUUCGAUCCCGCUCAGCUCCACCAAUUCGCUUGGUGUCGAGACUGAGAGAGAUAUCCUUUGAAGAAAUAAAAGUUUUGCAUCGGCUUAUGGCUGGUGCGUGUUCUGCAUACAUUGUGAAGAGAAGAUUGAUCUGGAGGCUUCCAGGUGUCGGGUUCUGCCCUUUUGGGCUUAACUUGGCGUCCGAGCCCAGUUCUGAUGAUCCCAUGGAUGGCCUAGCCGGCCGGAUAUGGGUGAAGGACUGGAG